UGGGGAAUCUUGCGCAAUGGGCGAAAGCCUGACGCAGCGACGCCGCGUGGGUGAUGAAGGCCUUCGGGUUGUAAAGCCCUGUGGGGAGGGAAGAAUGAGUUCAGGCUAAUAUCCUGAGCGAUGACGGUACCUCCUUAGCAAGCACCGGCUAACUCUGUGCCAGCAGCCGCGGUAAGACAGAGGGUGCGAACGUUGUUCGGAAUUACUGGGCGUAAAGCGCAUGUAGGCGGCCGCGCAGGUCGGGUGUGAAAGCCCUGGGCUCAACCCAGGAAGUGCACUCGAAACCGCGCGGCUCGAGUCCCGGAGAGGAAGGUGGAAUUCUUGGUGUAGAGGUGAAAUUCGUAGAUAUCAGGAGGAACACCGGCGGCGAAAGCGGCCUUCUGGACGAGGACUGACGCUGAGAUGCGAAAGCGUGGGGAGCAAACAG
rnacentral:rRNA from 1 species